rnacentral:rRNA from 1 species
UACGUAGGGUGCGAGCGUUGUCCGGAAUUAUUGGGCGUAAAGGGCUCGUAGGCGGUCUGUCGCGUCAGGAGUGAAAACUCGGGGCUUAACCCGGAGCCUGCUUCUGAUACGGGCAGACUAGAGGUAUGCAGGGGAGAACGGAAUUCCUGGUGUAGCGGUGAAAUGCGCAGAUAUCAGGAGGAACACCGGUGGCGAAGGCGGUUCUCUGGGCAUUACCUGACGCUGAGGAGCGAAAGUGUGGGGAGCGAACAGG